AGUGAACGCUGGCGGCGUGGCUAAGGCAUGCAAGUCGCACGGGGCAGCAAUGCCCAGUGGCGCAAGGGUGAGUAAUGGAUAGCUAACGUACCCUGAACUGGGGCACAGCCAGUCGAAAGACUGGGUAAUUCCCCAUGAAGUCGCGAGGUCACAUGAUUUUGCGACCAAAGGUGAGGACCGCAAGGCUUAUCGGUUUUGGAGCGGGCUAUCUGCUAUCAGCUAGUUGGUGUGGUAACGGCACACCAAGGCGAUGACGGCUAGCUGGUCUGA
rnacentral:rRNA from 1 species